GCAGCGGUAAUUCAGUGGUAGAAUGCAAGAUUGCAAAUCUUGUUGUCCCGCGUUCGAUCCGCGGUCGCUGCU
rfam:Penicillium coprophilum strain IBT 31321 PENCOP_contig002, whole genome shotgun sequence.